rnacentral:rRNA from 1 species
CUGCGUGGCCUUUGUGGUUGUGUGGUGAGAGUGGCGAACGGGUGAGUAACACGUGAGUAACCUGCCUUUUUCUUUGGGAUAACGCUCAGAAAUGGGUGCUAAUACUGGAUGUUCUGCGCUUUCCGCAUGGGGGGUGUGGGAAAGGGGCCUUUGUGGUUUCUGGAGGGAGAUGGGCUCGCGGCUUAUCAGCUUGUUGGUGGGGUGAUGGCUUACCAAGGCUUUGACGGGUAGCCGGCCUGAGAGGGUGGGCGGUCACAUUGGGACUGAGAUACGGCCCAGACUCCUACGGGAGGCAGCAGUGGGGAAUUUUGCACAAUGGGGGGAACCUUGAUGCAGCGACGCCGCGUGAGGGAUGGAGGCCUUCGGGUUGUGAACCUCUUUCGCUCGUGUGCAAGCCGCUAUUUGGGUAGUGGUGAGUGUAGCGGGUAAAGAAGCGCCGGCUAACUACGUGCCAGCAGCCGCGGUAAUACGUAGGGCGCGAGCGUUGUCCGGAUUUAUUGGGCGUAAAGGGCUUGUAGGCGGUUUGUCGCGCCUGUCGUGUAAUCCUCUGGCUUAACUGGGGGUGUGCGGUGGGUACGGGCAGGCUUGAGUGCGGUAGGGGAGAUUGGAAUUCCUGGUGUAGCGGUGGAAUGCGCAGAUAUCAGGAGGAACACCGGUGGCGAAGGCGGGUCUCUGGGCCGUUACUGACGCUGAGGAGCGAAAGCGUGGGGAGCGAACAGGAUUAGAUACCCUGGUAGUCCAUGCUGUAAACGUUGGGCACUAGGUGUGGGGGCCGCCCUUGGUUUCUGCGCCGUAGCUAACGCUUUAAGUGCCCCGCCUGGGGAGUACGGCCGCA